GAUGAACGCUGGCGGCGUGCCUAAUACAUGCAAGUCGAGCGAACAGAUGAGGAGCUUGCUCCUCUGACGUUAGCGGCGGACGGGUGAGUAACACGUGGAUAACCUACCUAUAAGACUGGGAUAACUUCGGGAAACCGGAGCUAAUACCGGAUAAUAUAUUGAACCGCAUGGUUCAAUAGUGAAAGACGGUCUGGCUGUCACUUAUAGAUGGAUCCGCGCCGCAUUAGCUAGUUGGUAAGGUAACGGCUUACCAAGGCAACGAUGCGUAGCCGACCUGAGAGGGUGAUCGGCCACACUGGAACUGAGACACGGUCCAGACUCCUACGGGAGGCAGCAGUAGGGAAUCUUCCGCAAUGGGCGAAAGCCUGACGGAGCAACGCCGCGUGAGUGAUGAAGGUCUUCGGAUCGUAAAACUCUGUUAUUAGGGAAGAACAAAUGUGUAAGUAACUGUGCACGUCUUGACGGUACCUAAUCAGAAAGCCACGGCUAACUACGUG
rnacentral:rRNA from 1 species